rnacentral:rRNA from 1 species
GACAGAGGGUGCAAACGUUUGUUCGGAAUUACUGGGCGUAAAGCGCGUGUAGGCGGUUAUGCAAGUCGGGUGUGAAAGCCCGGAGCUCAACUCCGGAAGUGCAUUCGAUACUGCGUAGCUAGAGUACUGGAGAGGAUGGUGGAACUCUCGGUGUAGAGGUGAAAUUCGUAGAUAUCGAGAAGAACACCGGUGGCGAAGGCGGCCAUCUGGACAGAUACUGACGCUGAGACGCGAAAGCGUGGGGAGCAAACAGG